UGGGGAAUAUUGCACAAUGGAGGAAACUCUGAUGCAGCAACGCCGCGUGAGUGAUGACGGUCUUCGGAUUGUAAAGCUCUGUCUUUGGGGAUGAUAAUGACAGUACCCAAGGAGGAAGCCACGGCUAACUACGUGCCAGCAGCCGCGGUAAUACGUAGGUGGCGAGCGUUAUCCGGAUUUAUUGGGCGUAAAGGGAGCGUAGGCGGAUAGUUAAGUGGGAUGUGAAAUACUCGGGCUCAACCUGAGGGCUGCAUUCCAAACUGAUUAUCUAGAGUGCAGGAGAGGAGAGUGGAAUUCCUAGUGUAGCGGUGAAAUGCGUAGAGAUUAGGAAGAACACCAGUGGCGAAGGCGACUCUCUGGACUGUAACUGACGCUGAGGCUCGAAAGCGUGGGGAGCGAACA
rnacentral:rRNA from 1 species